CCUACGGGAGGCAGCAGUGGGGAAUAUUGCACAAUGGGCGCAAGCCUGAUGCAGCCAUGCCGCGUGUGUGAAGAAGGCCUUCGGGUUGUACAGCACUUUCAGCGGGGAGGAAGGUGGUGAGGUUAAUAACCUCAUCGAUUGACGUUACCCGCAGAAGAAGCACCGGCUAACUCCGUGCCAGCAGCCGCGGUAAUACGGAGGGUGCAAGCGUUAAUCGGAAUUACUGGGCGUAAAGCGCACGCAGGCGGUCUGUCAAGUCGGAUGUGAAAUCCCCGGGCUCAACCUGGGAACUGCAUUCGAAACUGGCAGGCUAGAGUCUUGUAGAGGGGGGUAGAAUUCCAGGUGUAGCGGUGAAAUGCGUAGAGAUCUGGAGGAAUACCGGUGGCGAAGGCGGCCCCCUGGACAAAGACUGACGCUCAGGUGCGAAAGCGUGGGGAGCAAACAGGAUUAGAUACCCCGGUAGUC
rnacentral:rRNA from 1 species